AGAGUUUGAUCCUGGCUCAGGAUGAACGCUGGCGGCGUGCUUAACACAUGCAAGUCGAGCGAGAAGUUUUGAAAAGAUUCUUCGGAUGAAAUUUAAAAUGGAAAGCGGCGGACGGGUGAGUAACGCGUAGGCAACCUGCCCCAUACAAAGGGAUAGCAUUUGGAAACGAAUAUUAAUACCUUAUGAAACUUAACUAGUGCAUGCUAGGUAGGUCAAAGAUUUAUCGGUAUGGGAUGGGCCUGCGUCUGAUUAGCUAGUUGGUGAGGUAACGGCUCACCAAGGCGACGAUCAGUAGCCGACCUGAGAGGGUGAACGGCCACAUUGGAACUGAGACACGGUCCAAACUCCUACGGGAGGCAGCAGUGGGGAAUAUUGCACAAUGGGGGAAACCCUGAUGCAGCAACGCCGCGUGAACGAUGAAGGCCUUUGGGUCGUAAAGUUCUGUUCUAGGUGAUGAAAACUGACAGUAACCUGGGAGAAAGCCCCGGCUAACUCCGUGCCAGCAGCCGCGGU
rnacentral:rRNA from 1 species